AUUGAACGCUGGCGGCAGGCCUAACACAUGCAAGUCGAACGGUAGCACAGAGAGCUUGCUCUCGGGUGACGAGUGGCGGACGGGUGAGUAACGUCGGGGAAACUGCCCGAUGGAGGGGGAUGACUACUGGAAACGGUAGCUAAUACCGCAUAACGUCGACAGGCCAAAGUGGGGGGCAGUCGCGCCUCCCACCAUCGGAUGUGCCCAGAUGGGAUUAGCUAGUAGGUUGGGUAAUGGCUCACCUAGGCGACGAUCCAUAGCUGGUCUGAGAGGAUGACCAGCCACACUGGAACUGAGACACGGUCCAGACUCCUACGGGAGGCAGCAGUGGGGAAUAUUGCACAAUGGGCGCAAGCCUGAUGCAGCCAUGCCGCGUGUAUGAAGAAGGCCUUCGGGUUGUAAAGUACUUUCAGCGGGGAGGAAGGCGGUGAAGUUAAUAGCUUCACCGAUUGACGUUACCCGCAGAAGAAGCACCGGCUAACUCCGUGCCAGCCGCCGCAGUAA
rnacentral:rRNA from 1 species